GCCUGCGCCGCACACCUAACCUCGGAUCUGACGUCAUCACACGUCUAAAACAAGUCAUCACCAGAAACAUUCACUGGCCAAAUCCGUCAAAUUUAGAAACAUUCAUACACAGAAUUAUUCAAAAUAGAACAGUAUUGACCUAGAAAAAUUAAUCAUGACAAAUGUAUUUGUCCAUAAACGUCUAAAAUUAUAAAAGUUUCGCAUGCAGUUAAUGGAAAAAUAAAAAUGCAUGUUCUUAUUUAAACAGAAACUGGCAAUGUGAAAUUUUGGUGCGAAAAUUAGUGAUAUCGCAAUUGUUUGGUUUGUUUUGUUAAAAAUUCGGAAGGUUCGAAAAGUAGGGUUAUGUUAUCACCUGGAAAUGUCAAAAUUUACACUUUUAUGAAUUUUGUCUCCGUUUCUGCCCUUUCGGAGCGUUAUAAUAGGAUAUUUAGGACAGAAAUCUGCUAUUGCUAGAUAAGGACAAAAGUUUCCUCAAAAUUCGGUAAUAAAAGUAGGGUUAGGGUUAUUAUGCUCUCUUCUCAACUGCCAAAUUCUCACUUUGUGUGUCUUUUUGCUCUUUUAGAGCCUUACUAAUUAUUAUUGAAUAUGUAGCGGAAGAUACAUAAAUAAUUUACGAUUCAGUCAUUUUAUGGUUCAAAUACAGUCCGGGACAUUUCUAUUUGGACAUAAAAAAUUUGAAUUUUCUGACAUUUAUACGUGUAUUCAGCGUCUAUGUGAACAAAAAAUGUUCUCUCUCUCAUUCUAUGGUCCUUGAGCUUUAAUAACAGGGACAUUUUUUAAAUUGGUAGCAUUAGAAAAUGACAGUAAACAGCUGACUGAUGUAAACAAUAACAAAGGAAAUGUUAUAAUUUUAAUCUAUAUAACCCGUGGCUGCUUUAAAAGUGUGUACUAACGGGAUAAUAAAAUAUUUACGCAAGUAUUUUUGAAGGUAGAAACAUUACUUGUCAUAUAACAAUUAUAGAUUAUAUGAUGAGACGGGAAUGGCACAACACAGAAUUGCAGUCAGUGAUUGUGCUGGAGAAAGCUGCUGUGACGUACUGACAGUACUGACUAUCGCUGGUUGUACGAUUUGUGCACUUUGUGAUAUAUUUUGUGUGAAAAACUGGAAAACAAAGUGCAUACCUGCAUAACCUCACUUAUCGCAGUUUUGCACAUUUUGAUGAUGGGAAUUGCGGUUCAAGUAAUUAUGAGUUAUAGAUGGAGCUCACUGUUUACUUCAAACUGAAGCCUUUUGGGUCCACUUUUUUCGUUGUUAUUUCCUGGUAGCGACUAUUGUUUCAAGCAGAAUGGGUGUAAAGUUAAAAAUAAUCCCAUAAAAUUGUUAAUAUAACUCCGUUGCACUGGCAUGGGGUAUUUGAAAACUUACGUUUAACAAAUACGUCACAAAGUCUCAUCCAUCGUUGAAAAACAUAAUAAGGGCUUUAUAACAACAAGCGCUUUCUGAUUUUACUGUGGACGUGUGGAAGAAUAGUGUGAAAUAUUGCGAAAAACCAACUUUUACUCUUGUUUACAUUUUUGUACGUCUCUAUCUGAGAGUAGUCGUCUUUUAUAAAAAAUAUAGCCUACUAAUAAAGGAAAUUAGAGUGUUUU